rnacentral:sRNA from 1 species
GUGGGGUUUUGGGGGGCAGUGGGUGCAAGGAGUUUGGUUUGUGUCUGCUGGCCGGCAGGCAAACGCAACCCACGCGGUGGGGGAGGCGGCUAGCGUGGUGGACCCAGGCCGCGUGGCCCUGUGGCAGCCGAGCCAUGGUUUCUAAACUGAGCCAGCUGCAGACGGAGCUCCUGGCGGCCCUGCUCGAGUCAGGGCUGAGCAAAGAGGCACUGAUCCAGGCACUGGGUGAGCCGGGGCCCUACCUCCUGGCUGGAGAAGGCCCCCUGGACAAGGGGGAGUCCUGCGGCGGCGGUCGAGGGGAGCUGGCUGAGCUGCCCAAUGGGUUGGGGGAGACUCGGGGCUCCGAGGACGAGACGGACGACGAUGGGGAAGACUUCACGCCACCCAUACUCAAAGAGCUGGAGAACCUCAGCCCUGAGGAGGCGGCCCACCAGAAAGCCGUGGUGGAGACCCUUCUGCAGGAGGACCCGUGGCGUGUGGCGAAGAUGGUCAAGUCCUACCUGCAGCAGCACAACAUCCCACAGCGGGAGGUGGUCGACACCACUGGCCUCAACCAGUCCCACCUGUCCCAACACCUCAACAAGGGCACUCCCAUGAAGACGCAGAAGCGGGCUGCCCUGUACACCUGGUACGUCCGCAAGCAGCGAGAGGUGGCACAGCAGUUCACCCAUGCAGGGCAGGGAGGGCUGAUUGAAGAGCCCACAGGUGAUGAGCUACCAACCAAGAAGGGGCGGAGGAACCGUUUCAAGUGGGGCCCAGCAUCCCAGCAGAUCCUGUUCCAGGCCUAUGAGAGGCAGAAGAACCCUAGCAAGGAGGAGCGAGAGACGCUGGUGGAGGAGUGCAAUCGGGCGGAAUGCAUCCAGAGGGGGGUGUCCCCAUCACAGGCACAGGGGCUGGGCUCCAACCUCGUCACAGAGGUGCGUGUCUACAACUGGUUUGCCAACCGGCGCAAAGAAGAAGCCUUCCGGCACAAGCUGGCCAUGGACACGUACAGCGGGCCCCCCCCAGGGCCAGGCCCGGGACCUGCGCUGCCUGCUCACAGCUCCCCUGGCCUGCCCCCAUCUGCCCUCUCCCCCAGUAAGGUCCACGGUGUGCGCUAUGGACAGCCUGCAACCAGUGAGACUGCAGAAGUGCCCUCAAGCAGCGGCGGUCCCUUAGUGACAGUGUCUACACCCCUGCACCAAGUGUCCCCCACGGGCCUGGAGCCCAGCCACAGCCUGCUGAGUACGGAAGCCAAGCUGGUCUCAGCAGCUGGGGGCCCCCUCCCCCCUGUCAGCACCCUGACAGCCCUGCACAGCUUGGAGCAGACAUCCCCAGGCCUCAACCAGCAGCCCCAGAACCUCAUCAUGGCCUCACUUCCUGGGGUCAUGACCAUCGGGCCUGGUGAGCCUGCCUCCCUGGGUCCUACGUUCACCAACACAGGUGCCUCCACCCUGGUCAUCGGUAAGCUGGUGGGGACGGGUGGGCACCUGGGUGGGAGGCUCAUGGGGCAACCACAGAAUCCAGGAGCUGGAAGAGCCACUGGGACUCCAUUCAUUCAUUCAUUCAUUCAUUCAUUCAUUCAACAUGUAUUUAUCCAGUGCCUACUCUGGAUCAGUCACUGUGCUACAUCAGUGAUACCUGGGUGAACCAAACAGACCAAAAUCUCAGCAACUCAAGCAGGGAGGCAGGCACUAAGCAUAAUACAUCAAUUCUGUGGUACCUCAGAAGGUGAAGGGUCUAUGGGCAAAUUAUAGCAGGGUAAGGGGGACUGAUGUUUUCUAAGUUUUUGUUUUAUGAAGAAAAAUUAAGCCCAGAAAGCCUUUAUUUGCAGGUAAAAUUAUGCAGAAGCCCAGUACAUAAGAUAGAUAGGGAGCUGCUAGGAGAGGGGAGCAGAGAGCUAACCCCAGGGCCUUUGCACUGCUGUGGAACCCCAGAGCUCCAGGGAACCUCAGUUUGACAACUUUUGAACAAGUCACUGCCUGCCUCUCCCACUAGCCUAGAUAAAGAGCUAAAGGCUCAGAGAGGGGGAAUGACUUGCCAGAGCCACUUAAAUUAGUGGCAGAUCCCAGUGGAGGGCUGUUUCCUGACCACCCUGCCCCCUCCUCCAAACCACGGGCUCUGGGAAGGAGAGGUGGUGCCCUUGGGAGGUCUUGGGCAGGGGUGGGAUGUAACUGGGGGGCCCAGCUGAUUCCCGCCCCUUCCACUCCAGGCCUGGCCUCCACGCAGGCACAGAGUGUGCCGGUCAUCAACAGCAUGGGCAGCAGCCUGACCACCCUGCAGCCCGUCCAGUUCUCCCAGCCGCUGCACCCCUCCUACCAGCAGCCGCUCAUGCCACCUGUGCAGAGCCACGUGACCCAGAGCCCCUUCAUGGCCACCAUGGCUCAGCUGCAGAGCCCCCACGGUGAGCGCCCUGUGCCCCACACAGGGGGAGAUGAUGAUAGAGGUUGGCUGUCGGUGGAUGCACGGGAAAGGGGUGCCUGGCAGGCACUGCAGUCUGAGUGUGUCUCUGGAACAAGCGUGUUUCCGUGACUGAGGGUGUCCGCAGGCCACAGUGUGUUCCCAUGUGAAUGCACGUAUCCGUGUCUGCGCACAUGACUGCUUGUGUGAGCAGAUCCCUAGUGCGUGUCUGGGUGUGUAUCGGUUGUGCAUGCGUUUGUGUGUGCGUGCCCGUGUUUCUCUGAAACUCUUAGGACCAUAUGAAUUUCUAAAAUCUAUUCAGAUUUUAGAGAAGUAAUCUGGGGCCAGGCGUGGUGGCUCAUGCCUGUAAUCCCAGCACUUUGGGAGGCCGAGGUGGGUGGAUCACUUGAGGUCAGGAGUUCGAGACCCGCCUGGCCAACACGGUGAAACCCCGUCUCUACUAAAAGUACAAAAAUUGGCCUGGUGUGGAGGCACGUGCCUGUAGUCCCAGCUACUUGGGAGGCUGAGGCAGAAGAAUCGCUUGAACCUGGGAGGCGGAGGUUGCAGUGAGCUGAGAUUGUGCCACUGCACUGCACUCCAGCCUGGGCAACAGAGUGAGACUCUGCCAAAAAAAAAAAAAAAAAAAAAAAAAAAAGAAAAAAGAAA